ACACACAUGCAUCAUCCAGUCUACCGUUCACUCUGAGUGAGAGGCCCUUUGUCACCAGUAGGGGUAGAAGCUUUCUGAACUUUGCCCAGGCUAUUCUUAUUCUAGUGGUAACAUUCUCUGAGCAUUCACCCCUACUACAUACUUGAUCACCUAGGUAGCGGAAGCUAUCAACUACUUCUAGUUUCUCCCCCUGGCAUGUGAUGGAGUCUGUUUUCUGAGCAUCUGUGGUGUUUAUUGCCCCUGUGCAUCUGCUGCACGU